rnacentral:rRNA from 1 species
CCUACGGGAGGCAGCAGUGGGGAAUCUUAGACAAUGGGGGCAACCCUGAUCUAGCCAUGCCGCGUGAGUGAUGAAGGCCUUAGGGUCGUAAAGCUCUUUCGCCUGUGAUGAUAAUGACAGUAGCAGGUAAAGAAACCCCGGCUAACUCCGUGCCAGCAGCCGCGGUAAUACGGAGGGGGUUAGCGUUGUUCGGAAUUACUGGGCGUAAAGCGCGCGUAGGCGGAUUAGAAAGUUGGGGGUGAAAUCCCGGGGCUCAACCCCGGAACUGCCUCCAAAACUGCUAGUCUAGAGUUCGAGAGAGGUGAGUGGAAUUCCGAGUGUAGAGGUGAAAUUCGUAGAUAUUCGGAGGAACACCAGUGGCGAAGGCGGCUCACUGGCUCGAUACUGACGCUGAGGUGCGAAAGUGUGGGGAGCAAACAGGAUUAGAUACCCCCGUAGUC